rnacentral:rRNA from 1 species
UAAGCAUAUCAAUAAGCGGAGGAAAAGAAAAUAACAAUGAUUCCCCUAGUAACGGCGAGUGAAGAGGGAAAAGCUCAAAGUUGGAACCUGGUGGGCAUAGCUCACCCGGAUUGUAAACUAAAGUUUUUGAGUCGUUUAGUCAGCCAGGUAAAUAAGUCCUCUGGAAAGGGGCGACAUAGAGGGUGAAAUCCCCGUCUUUGGCCUGAGUUUUGAUUAGGCGUUUGGCUUGGAAACGAAGAGUCAGGUUGUUUGGGAAUGCAGCCUAAAAUGGGAGGUAAAUCUCUCCUAAAGCUAAAUAUUGACGAAAGACCGAUAGCGAACAAGUACCGUGAGGGAAAGAUGAAAAGCACUUUGAAAAGAGGGUCAAAAAGUACGUGAAAUUGCUGAAAGGGAACCGUAUGAAAUCAGACUUACUGGUAGGUAAUCAAUCUUUCCCUUGGGAAGGAUGCACUUGCCUGCUAUGUACGCCAGCGACAUUUUGGUUGUGGAGGAAAAAAAUAGUUGGAAUGUAGCCUGGGUUUCGGCUUAGGUGUUAUAGACUACUAUAAAAUACUCUCGGCUAGAAUGAGGAACGCAGCAAACCGUAAGGCGAAGAUUUUAGGCGCUUGGGGGGAAUCAUUAGAGAAUUUCUGCUUCGGGUGGUGCUUUAGUGAUUUCGUUCAACUCGUUUGAAUUUCUUUUUAUUUGCUUA